rnacentral:rRNA from 1 species
AUUGAACGCUGGCUGCAGGCUUAACACAUGCAAGUCGAGCGGUAACAGAGAGAAGCUUGCUUCUCUGCUGACGAGCGGCGGACGGGUGAGUAAUGCCUAGGAAUCUGCCUAGUAGUGGGGGAUAACUUGCCGAAAGGUAAGCUAACACCGCAUACGUCCUACGGGAGAAAGGAGGGGACCUUCGGGCCUUUCGCUAUUAGAUGAGCCUAGGUCGGAUUAGUUAGUUGGUGAGGUAAUGGCUCACCAAGACCGCGAUCCGUAACUGGUCUGAGAGGAUGAUCAGUCACACUGGAACUGAGACACGGUCCAGACUCCUACGGGAGGCAGCAGUGGGGAAUAUUGGACAAUGGGGGGAACCCUGAUCCAGCCAUGCCGCGUGUGUGAAGAAGGUCUUAGGAUUGUAAAGCACUUUAAGUUGGGAGGAAGAGCAGUUAACUAAUAUUUGACUGUUUUGACGUUACCGACAGAAUAAGCACCGGCUAACUUCGUGCCAGCAGCCGCGGUAA